rnacentral:rRNA from 1 species
AAACCAGCACCUCAAGUGGUCAGGAGGAUUAUUGGGCCUAAAGCAUCCGUAGCCUGUUCUGUAAGUUUUCGGUUAAAUCCAUUAGCUCAACUAAUGGGCCGCCGAAAAUACUGUAGAACUAGGGAGUGGGAGAGGUAGACGGUAUUCGGUAGGAAGGGGUAAAAUCCUUUGAUCUAUUGGGGACCACCUGUGGCGAAGGCGGUCUACCAGAACACGUUCGACGGUGAGGGAUGAAAGCUGGGGGAGCAAACCGGAUUAGAAACCCGAGUAGUCC